rnacentral:rRNA from 1 species
CAAGUCGAACGAACCUUUCGGGGUUAGUGGCGGACGGGUGAGUAACGCGUGAGAAUCUGCCCUCAGGAGGGGGAUAACGACUGGAAACGGUCGCUAAUACCCCAUAUGCCGAGAGGUGAAAUGAAUUUCGCCUGAGGAUGAGCUCGCGUCUGAUUAGCUAGUUGGUGGGGUAAAGGCCUACCAAGGCGACGAUCAGUAGCUGGUCUGAGAGGAUGAUCAGCCACACUGGGACUGAGACACGGCCCAGACUUCUACGGGAGGCAGCAGUGGGGAAUUUUCCGCAAUGGGCGAAAGCCUGACGGAGCAACGCCGCGUGAGGGAUGAAGGCCUCUGGGCUGUAAACCUCUUUUCUCAAGGAAGAAGAUCUGACGGUACUUGAGGAAUAAGCCACGGCUAAUUCCGUGCCAGCAGCCGCGGUAAUACGGGAGUGGCAAGCGUUAUCCGGAAUUAUUGGGCGUAAAGCGUCCGCAGGCGGCCUUGUAAGUCUGUCGUUAAAGCGUGGAGCUUAACUCCAUUUCAGCGGUGGAAACUACAAGGCUUGAGUGUGGUAGGGGCAGAGGGAAUUCCCGGUGUAGCGGUGAAAUGCGUAGAUAUCGGGAAGAACACCAGUGGCGAAGGCGCUCUGCUGGGCCAUAACUGACGCUCAUGGACGAAAGCCAGGGGAGCGAAAGGGAUUAGAUACCCCUGUAGUCCUGGCCGUAAACGAUGAACACUAGGCGUCGGGGGAAUCGACCCCCUCGGUGUCGUAGCCAACGCGUUAAGUGUUCCGCCUGGGGAGUACGCACGCAAGUGUGAAACUCAAAGGAAUUGACGG